rnacentral:sRNA from 1 species
UAGCAGAACGUGAUGGUGGUCAUGGUUUACGGUAAAAGUUCCUUCGAAAAGAGGGUUGAGGCCAUCUUCCUUGACAACCACACGGGCCCAACCGGCGCGUUCCCAGUUUCCUUCAGCAACUUGAAUCCAGGACCAACCCUUGAAUACCUUGUGAUCUUGUCGCUUUAUGGAUUCUGAUUUCUGGAUAUUUCCAGCCUGGUCCAGGAAGUGCACCUGGGCAUCGUCGGGAAGGAUAUCAUGAUUAGGCUCUAAGCUAAGUUUUAGCCGCUGCCGUCUCUUAUGGAGUUCGAACGUAAUAUCGAAAUGUGACAGUGCAUUCACUCGAUGGGAUGGAGUAUGGAUAGUAGGUUGUUCGACGAGGGAAAGAUAGCCGAUGUUACUCCGUCUUUCGGAAUGUGCUGGCCAGGGGAUGUAUCGUCAGCAUCGUAACUUUAUUCCCAAAACACAAAAUCCUGCGGGAACAAAGGGGACUUACCAUCAACGUUAGAAGUAAAAAUUGAGAGAGCACUGGUUAUCAAUGGAACCAAGCCACGGAAAAAUCGCAUAGCGAGAGAAGUUGGGCGCUACGACUCAAGGGCCGUGCGGAGAGAUGGUCAGAAAGCCGCUCUCUCAGCAACCCCGGAUCGAGGACAAAACCCACAAAAAAGAAAGAAAAAAGUAUACGAAAUAACAAAAAAAAUACGACAGUCGACCAAAACAACAGAUAUGAAAACCCUGAAAACGUGGAAUGAAACUGAUGCUGAUAUGUGAUGGAUCGUUGUUCCAAGCGGCUGAAAAAGUUCGAUGUCAAAGGGAGAUGGGAUGGGAUGAGAAGCGGCUCAAGAGCCAACAACAGGCGCAGCGCAGUAGGGCGGGGCAACCACGAAAAGAAGUGUAACUAACGCUUACUGCGUAGGCUGCUGGAGGAGGUGAGUGAGGCGAAACCCAGACAGUCAGCAUCCGGGAGGCACCCAGCAACUGCGUAUGGAUUAAUUUAUCUUCAAUUAUCAAUUUUUAUUAUUCGACUUGAUCCCCCCGACAAAAAGGAAAAGGGAAUAAUAAAACUACCAGCCAACCUGCGCCAGGUUAAGAGUGUGAUUCUGCCCCAAACCAGGUGUCGCAACUCCUUGCAGAACUGAACUGAGCAAAGUAGUUAUUGGUCGAAUUGGGACUAGAGUGAUGAUGGAAACGGCAGCCCAGAAUCAAUUUGAGUGGCUUGUACAGGCUACGCUAGAGUUAUUUAAGUCCUCCAAGCGUGGCGCAGUCAGUGAAUCUCGGACAGCGAAGAUCAAGAUCUUGGUCGGAUCAAGUGGAGCCAGAGACAGGUGAGUGCGACGCGAUUUGGAAUCAGUUACGAUCUGCCGGUGGAGGGAGAAAGGCAGCGAUAGAUGGCUCUUGAAAUUCAAUGAGAACGGGUGGAAACGAAGUGCCAGGGACUCAUUGUCCAGGAAGAUUGAAUAUUUUAUUGGGAAGUGGAAGAUGGAGGAGGAAAAAAAAGAACG